rnacentral:rRNA from 1 species
UACAGAGGGUGCGAGCGUUAAUCGGAAUUACUGGGCGUAAAGCGCGCGCAGGCGGCCCGCGAGGUGUCACGUGAAAGCCCCGGGCUCAACCCGGGAGGGUCGUGGCAAACCGGCGGGCUUGAGGCCGGUAGAGGUGGGUGGAACUCCUGGUGGAGUGGUGAAAUGCGUAGAUAUUGGGAAGAACACCGGUGGCGAAGGCGGCUCUCUGGACCGAGACUGACGCUGAGGCGCGAAAGCGAGGGGAGCAAACAGG